UUGAGGUCUGACCUGCCCACUGAUUUAUUUAAAUGGCCGCAGUAAUUUGACUGUGCAAAGGUAGCAUAAUCAUUUUUUUUAAUUGAAAGCUUGUAUGAAGGGUUGGAUGAAGAAAAAUCUGUCUUAAUUUAAAUUAUUUUAGAAUUUAAUUUUUAAGUUAAAAACUUAUUUUAUAAAAACGAGAAGACCCUAUAGAUCUUUAUAUAAAUUUAAUAAUUUUAGUUAGGUUUUAUUUAUUUUUUUAUUAUUUUUAUUUUUUAUGGGGAAUAAAAAGAUUAAAAUAAUUCUUUUUUUUAUUUAAUAUAAAUUAAUAAAUUUAUGAUCCAUUUUUAAUGAUUAUAAGAUUAAGUUACCUUGGAUAACAGCGUAAUUUUUUUAAAGAGUUCAUAUCGAUAAAAAAGUUUGCGACCUCGAUGUGGAUUAAAAAUAAUUUUAGUGUAGAAGCUUA
rnacentral:rRNA from 1 species